rnacentral:rRNA from 1 species
CCUACGGGAGGCAGCAGUGAGGAAUAUUGGUCAAUGGGCGGGAGCCUGAACCAGCCAAGUCGCGUGAGGGACGACGGUCCUAUGGAUUGUAAACCUCUUUUGUCGGGGAACAAAGGCGCCCACGGGUGGGCAGAUGAGUGUACCCGAAGAAAAAGACUCGGCUAACUCCGUGCAAGCAGCCGCGGUCAUACGGAGGAUGCGAGCGUUAUCCGGAUUUAUUGGGUUUAAAGGGUGCGUAGGCGGACAGUCAAGUCAGAGGUAAAAAUGCGGUGCUCAACGCCGUACAGCCGUUGAAACUGGCAGUGUUGAGUGGGCGAGAAGUAUGCGGAAUGCGUGGUGUAGCGGUGAAAUGCAUAGAUAUCACGCAGAACUCCGAUUGCGAAGGCAGCAUACCGGCGCCCGACUGACGCUGAGGCACGAAAGCGUGGGUAUCGAACAGGAUUAGAUACCCGAGUAGUC